UUUUUUCCUUCCCUAACACAGCAUCGUCCUUUACUAGUGGGCCGAACAUGUUUCAGGUUCAGGACUUUGGUUGUGAGGGCGGCAGACGGUGGUGCAAGGCGGCCGUCCAGUGGCCGAAUAGUGUACAGACAGUCUCAGGGAGAGAAUGUAUUUCCUAUUGCUCCGGUCCAGAAGAUUGCGUCCUUUGUCGUGCCCGUUGGCGCUUUUAUCGCCGUUACUUUCGCUGACAGUUUUGUGGAAAUUGGUGGAGAAA
rnacentral:misc_RNA from 1 species